CCUAGCCUACGGGAGGCAGCAGUGGGGAAUAUUGGGCAAUGGGCGCAAGCCUGACCCAGCAACGCCGCGUGAAGGAAGAAGGCUUUCGGAUUGUAAACUUCUUUUCUUAGUGAAGAAGCAAGUGACGGUAGCUAAGGAAUAAGCAUCGGCUAACUACGUGCCAGCAGCCGCGGUAAUACGUAGGAUGCGAGCGUUAUCCGGAAUUACUGGGUGUAAAGGGAGCGCAGGCGGGACUGCAAGUUGGAUGUGAAAUACCGCAGCUUAACUGCGGAGCUGCAUCCAAAACUGUAGUUCUUGAGUGGAGG
rnacentral:rRNA from 1 species